rnacentral:rRNA from 1 species
UUUUUGGAGAGUUUGAUCCUGGCUCAGGAUGAACGCUGGCGGCGUGCCUAAUACAUGCAAGUCGAGCGGAUCUUUGGGAGCUUGCUCCCAAAGAUUAGCGGCGGACGGGUGAGUAACACGUGGGCAACCUGCCUAUAAGACUGGGAUAACUUCGGGAAACCGGAGCUAAUACCGGAUAAUAAAUAGAACCACAUGGUUCUA